rnacentral:rRNA from 1 species
GUAGGGCGCAAGCGUUAUCCGGAAUUAUUGGGCGUAAAGAGCUCGUAGGCGGUUUGUCGCGUCUGCUGUGAAAUCCCGAGGCUCAACCUCGGGCCUGCAGUGGGUACGGGCAGACUAGAGUGCGGUAGGGGAGAUUGGAAUUCCUGGUGUAGCGGUGGAAUGCGCAGAUAUCAGGAGGAACACCGAUGGCGAAGGCAGAUCUCUGGGCCGUAACUGACGCUGAGGAGCGAAAGGGUGGGGAGCAAACAGGCUUAGAUACCCUGGUAGUCCACCCCGUAAACGUUGGGAACUAGUUGUGGGGUCCAUUCCACGGAUUCCGUGACGCAGCUAACGCAUUAAGUUCCCCGCCUGGGGAGUACGGCCGCAAGGCUAAAACUCAAAGGAAUUGACGGGGACCCGCACAAGCGGUGGAGCAUGUGGUUUAAUUCGAUGUAACGCGAAAAACCUUACCACUCCUUGACAUGGAAAUUAUACCUAUUCGAAGGGAUAGGGUCGGUUCGGCCGGGUUUCACACAGGUGU